rnacentral:snRNA from 1 species
GUAUUUUAAAAGUAAAGUAUUCAUGAUCACGAAGGUUGUUUUCCCAGGGCGAGGCUUAUCCAUUGCACUCCGGAUGUGCUGACCCCUGCGAUUUCCCCAAAUGUGGGAAACUCGACUGCAUAAUUUGUGGUAGUGGGGGAAAAAAAAAAAAAAGUAAAGUAUUAAAUAAAAAACCUCCA